rnacentral:rRNA from 1 species
UACGUAGGGUGCAAGCGUUAAUCGGAAUUACUGGGCGUAAAGCGUGCGUAGGCGGUGAUGUAAGACAGUUGUGAAAUCCCCAGGCUUAACCUGGGAACUGCAUUCGAGACUGCAUUGCUAGAGUAUGGGAGAGGGAAGUGGAAUUUCCGGUGUAGCGGUGAAAUGCGUAGAUAUCGGAAGGAACAUCAGUGGCGAAAGCGACUUCCUGGACCAAUACUGACGCUCAUGUGCGAAAGCGUGGGGAGCAAACAGG